rnacentral:lncRNA from 1 species
GAACAAGAAAAGGCUCUGAAACAGAUCCAAGAUGUUGUUUGAGCCAUGCAACUAGAAGAUCUCAUAGAACUAAAGUUAUCUAAUUUACAGAAAAGGUUUUACGUGACGUCUAUUGUACAGAUUCAUAUGAAAACCAUAGUUCAAACUCCAAGGUUUAAGAAGUAAGAAAGAUCAUGCCAUUUGCAACAAACAUGCAUGCAUAUUUGAAAAGCAACUGCCUGAAGACAAAUACUGCUAUGAAUGGUUACAUCUAGGACUUCUGAAAUUAGCCCCAGAUUCAACUCAUUUUUUUCUGCAUUUGCUGAGCAAUAUGACAUGUUUACACCGAUUAGCUAAAAAGUUAUGUGAAGAAUGGGCAACAAUAUCUCUAAGGCAAGAUAUGUUCAGAUCCAAUAUAGUUCAUAUAGACCUUGUCAGAGUAAAUGACCAUGUGCCUUUCAG